rnacentral:rRNA from 1 species
GCUUUUUGUUAAAAGUAGAAAGUAGGGUCUGCCCGGUGAAAAUUUUUAACGGCCGCAAUAUUUGUGCGAAGGUAGCAUAAUCAUUUGUCUUUUAAUUGAUGACUGGAAUGAAUGGCUGGACGGGGAUAAGCUGUCUUAAUUAUAUAUAUUUGAAAUUUACUUUUAAGUAAAAAGGCUUAAAUAUUUUAGAGGGACGAGAAGACCCUAUUGAGUUUAAUAGAGGUACCUUAAUUUUUCUAAAAUUUUGGAGUAACUAUUUAAUUGGGGAGAUUUAAUAAUAUUAACUAUAUAAGAAUUAAUAGACAUUAAGUUUUUAGGAUCCAUAUUUUAUGAGUGUUAGGGUAAAUUACCUUAGGGAUAACAGCGUAAUAUUUUUUUGGAGUUCAAAUCGACUAAAAUGUUUACGACCUCGAUGUUGGAUUAAAGAACCUAAUUGGAGAAGAUUUUAGUUUAGGUAGUCUGUUCGACUAUUAAAUCUUUACA